rnacentral:rRNA from 1 species
GAUGAGCCCGCGUUGGAUUAGCUAGUUGGUGGGGUAAAGGCCUACCAAGGCGACGAUCCAUAGCUGGUCUGAAAGGAUGAUCAGCCACACUGGGACUGAGACACGGCCCAGACUCCUACGGGAGGCAGCAGUGGGGAAUAUUGGACAAUGGGCGCAAGCCUGAUCCAUCCAUGCCGCGUGAGUGAUGAAGGCCCUAGGGUUGUAAAGCUCUUUCACCGGUGAAGAUAAUGACGGUAACCGGACAAGAAGCCCCGGCUAACUUCGUGCCAGCAGCCGCGGUAAUACGAAGGGGGCUAGCGUUGUUCGGAUUUACUGGGCGUAAAGCGCACGUAGGCGGACUAUUAUGUCAGGGGUGAAAUCCCGGGGCUCAUCCCCGGAACUGCCUUUGAUACUG